rnacentral:rRNA from 1 species
GACGAACGCUGGCGGCGUGGAUUAGGCAUGCAAGUCGAACGGUAUCAUCCUUUCGGGGGUGAGAGAGUGGCGAACUGGUGAGUAACACGUAGGUUAUCUACCCUCAAGACGGGGACAACCCAGGGAAACUUGGGCUAAUACCGGAUGUGAGCAACUUUUAGUUGUUUGAAAGGUGGCGUAAGCUGUCGCUUGGGGAUGAGCCUGCGUCCUAUUAGUUAGUUGGUGAGGUAACGGCUCACCUAGGCAAUGAUAGGUAGGCGGCCUUAACGGGUGGUCGCCCACACUGGGAUUGAGAUACGGCCCAGACUCCUACGGGAGGCAGCAGUCGAGAAUAGUCCACAAUGGUCGGAAGACUGAUAGUGCGACGCCGCGUGAACGAUGAAUCCCUUCGGGGUGUAAAGUUCUUUUAUAUGUGAGCAGUGCUUCUUAUAUUAACAGUAUGGGGAGAGAGAUAUUAGCAUAUGAAUAAGCAACGGCUAACUCCGUGCCAGCAGCCGCGGUAA